rnacentral:rRNA from 1 species
GCCCAGAUGGGAUUAGCUAGUAGGUGGGGUAACGGCUCACCUAGGCGACGAUCCCUAGCUGGUCUGAGAGGAUGACCAGCCACACUGGAACUGAGACACGGUCCAGACUCCUACGGGAGGCAGCAGUGGGGAAUAUUGCACAAUGGGCGCAAGCCUGAUGCAGCCAUGCCGCGUGUAUGAAGAAGGCCUUCGGGUUGUAAAGUACUUUCAGCGGGGAGGAAGGGAGUAAAGUUAAUACCUUUGCUCAUUGACGUUACCCGCAGAAGAAGCACCGGCUAACUCCGUGCCAGCAGCCGCGGUAAUACGGAGGGUGCAAGCGUUAAUCGGAAUUACUGGGCGUAAAGCGCACGCAGGCGGUUUGUUAAGUCAGAUGUGAAAUCCCCGGGCUCAACCUGGGAACUGCAUCUGAUACUGGCAAGCUUGAGUCUCGUAGAGGGGGGUAGAAUUCCAGGUGUAGCGGUGAAAUGCGUAGAGAUCUGGAGGAAUACCGGUGGCGAAGGCGGCCCCCUGGACGAAGACUGACGCUCAGGUGCGAAAGCGUGGGGAGCAAACAGGAUUA